GAUGAACGCUGGCGGCGUGCCUAAUACAUGCAAGUCGAACGAAACUUCUUUAUCACCGAGUGCUUGCACUCACCGAUAAAGAGUUGAGUGGCGAACGGGUGAGUAACACGUGGGCAACCUGCCCAAAAGAGGGGGAUAACACUUGGAAACAGGUGCUAAUACCGCAUAACCAUAGUUACCGCAUGGUAACUAUGUAAAAGGUGGCUAUACUACCGCUUUUGGAUAGGCCCGCGGCGCAUUAGCUAGUUGGUAGGGUAAAGGCUUACCAAGGCAAUGAUGCGUAGCCGAAUUGAGAGGUUGAUCGGCCACAUUGGGACUGAGACACGGCCCAAACUCCUACGGGAGGCAGCAGUAGGGAAUCUUCCACAAUGGGCGAAAGCCUGAUGGAGCAACGCCGCGUGGGUGAAGAAGGUCUUCGGAUCGUAAAACCCUGUUGUUAGAGAAGAAAGUGCGUGAGAGUAACUGUUCACGUUUCGACGGUAUCUAACCAGAAAGCCACUGCUAACUACGUG
rnacentral:rRNA from 1 species